rnacentral:rRNA from 1 species
GCCAGCCCGCUCAGAAACUCAAAGGAAUUGACGGGGCCCGCGACAAGCGGUGGAGUAUGUGGUUUAAUUCGAUGCAACGCGAAGAACCUUACCUGGUCUUGACAUCCCGGAGACCCUUAGGAAACUAGGGGUGCUUCCAUCUGGAAGAAUCUGGAGACAGGUGCUGCAUGGCUGUCGUCAGCUCGUGUCGUGAGAUGUUGGGUUAAGUCCCGCAACGAGCGCAACCCUUGCCUUUAGUUGCCAGCAGUUCGGCUGGGCACUCUAAAGGGACUGCCGGUGUUAAACCGGAGGAAGGUGGGGAUGACGUCAAGUCCUCAUGGCCUUUAUGACCAGGGCUACACACGUACUACAAUGGCCGAUACAAAGGGCAGCGACACUGCGAGGUGAAGCCAAUCCCGUAAAAUCGGUCUCAGUCCGGAUUGGAGUCUGCAACUCGACUCCAUGAAGUUGGAAUCGCUAGUAAUCGUGGAUCAGCAUGCCACGGUGAAUACGUUCCCGGGCCUU